CAGAUUAAUCAAAUCAAAGCAGAGACUUGGAGAGAACAUUUCCGAGGUAAAAUCUUAAUCUCAAAAAAGAGACUAUUAAUCUUACAUCUAGAGCCUGAGACUCCUAACUUCAGUUUCCCAGGACUUUAUGGCUUUGCAAACAAAUAAGAGAAAGAUUUGAUUCAUCGUUUACAUUGUUUAUUUCUCACGCAGAUUGCCUAUGAAACCAAUGAUGUGUUCUCAGACUCACUAGUAUUUAUCCGUAUAUUUUAAGAACAUUGGUAGAAUCAUGUAUGGUUUACCUUCAGCUUCCGCCUGGAAAUAAAACUACUUUAAUCAUUCAGAGCAUGAUGUUUGGGACUGCAGCCUCUCAGACAGAUCAACUGGGUUGUAAGCCCAUCUCUAACACUUGCAGACUCUAACCUAAGGUACUUCAGAUACGGGCAUUGGAAGAAGCAAGCACUUCCUCAGACUCCAGUCAUUGAAAGGAAGAGAAACUGCUAGUAUGAUUUUAGGCCAGAAUUUCGACAUGCAAGAAAGAGGCCCUCAACAGAUUGGAUGCUACCUACCUCCAUUGAGAAGGCUAUCUGCUUCAUUUAAUCCAGAAGUUCAAAUGCUAAUCUCUUCCAGAAACACCCUCAUAGACACACCCAGAAAUAAUAUUUAAUGACAUAUCUGGGCAUCCUGUGGCCUAAUAAAGUUGACAGCU
rnacentral:lncRNA from 10 species